rnacentral:lncRNA from 12 species
GUAAGAAGGCCCAUCUCAGAAGGCUGUUGAGGGGAUUAAACCAGAUACGCGUGUAAUGUUCUUAGUGUUGUGCCAGGCACACUGCAAAUAUUCAAUAAAUGGCAGCAUUAUGAUUGUCACCAACCACCACCUGCGGACGGUGUUUUCUUUAUACCUCACCUUUUGAAUCAGUCAAUUCUGCAACUAGCUCAGAAAGUUCCCUUCCCGGGGCUGGAUUACAACACAGGAGGCAGAAGCCAAGACGGCAGGAAGGCAGGAACCAGCUCUUACCCCAGCAAGGGGGGAGGUGGGAACACCUGGGACUCCAGGAUGGAGCCGCCGCACCUGUGAUGCCCUCUAGUGGAAGGAUGAGGCUUCGGAACCCAGGUGUGCAAGGAGGCAGGUGGACCCCAAUGUGCUGCAAGGGCCAGGUGCGUUUUCCCGACAUCCAAACUCAGUUCUCCUGAAACACAGCCCGGGAGCAACGUGAUCGGAAUCGCAGGCAAUGCAAACAGGAACGUGUCUUCAGGCAUUUCCCCAAAUACUCGCUAAUUACGGAGAGAGAGAACACACUCAGAAGGACAGAUCAUGCUCUGAUUAUUUCACUGCAUUGUCCAUUGCGGAUGUGUCUUGUCGCCUGCCCUGCCAGAGGAAAAAUCUACGCGUGGGCACAGUGGGGUCAGGGCGGUGCCAGGCACAGUGGGACGACAGGAGGCGUCCAGUCCCAGAGAGGGAACUGGCCUUUCCAGACUGACCCUCAGGAACAACUGGACAGCAAGAGAGAAGAUGAUUCAUAAUAAGGAGCUAAGUUAUUUGUCGAGUGAGUUUAAAGGAGCAGGAUGUGAAUGAGGGUUCAGGUAAUCCAGGAUGGCUUUGUGGAGGAGGCACCUGAGCCAGAGCUUACUAGGUCUCAUAAAAAUAAGAAGCAAAAUACAAUUAAAAAGAAGCAAACUAAAAUAAAAGGAACAAAGAGUUACAGUAACAGCAACUGCUCACACCCCUUGGGCUCUCCCAGGUGCUGGCAGUCCGGAAGACAAGUGUAUCAUGUGCGCCCUCUCGAAGUCUCACUAGUGUCCCCACUGGCCAACCUCAGCCAGGGCCCAGAGCACAGUGGGAUCUGCUCCCCGGAAGACAGGAAGGAGAAAAAAGACGGAAGGGUGACCUGGAGAGCCGGACCGCAGACACCCCCCAGGAGCCACCAUUAG